rnacentral:lncRNA from 1 species
UGUGGUGGUCGGAUGAACUGGGAGAUUGGGAUGGACAUGUAUACACUGAUGUGUGUAUAAAACAGAUAACCAACAAAAAAGAGAAUGCUAACAAAGGAAAAAGAAGAGAUGAACACAGAAUUUUAACAAGAAACUAGAAAAUUAUUUUUUAAAAUGAGAAAUUAAUAAUUCAGUAACUAAAAGGAAAAACGGAAUAAACAGCAGAUUAGGUGAUACAGAAGAAUGCAUAAGUGAGCUGGAAGAUGGAAAUAACCCAAUCAGAACAACAAAAAGAAAAACCCAAAAGGGAAUUUCGGAUAACAUCAAGUGUUUCCAACAUUCACAUUAUACAGGUCACACCCCUGAAGGGGGAGCAAGAGAUAGAAGGGGGUCAAAAAUGCGCUUAAUAAAAUUAUGGCUGAAAACUUCACAAGCCUGAGAAAUGAAACAUAAUCAGUUAUGGGAAGCACAGUGUGUGUCAAUUAAGAUGAACACAGAUAGAUUAAUGCCAAGACAUAUCACAAUUGAAAUGGAAUAAGUUAAAGAGAGAUCUAAAGGCAGCAAUAGAAAAAGAGGCACAUACAAGGGAACCACCAUAAGGUUAUUAGCUGAUUUUUCUGCAGAAACUGCGGCCAGAAGGGAACGGCAUGAUACAUUUAAAGUGCUGAAAGGGAAAAACCUGCAACCUAGGAUACUCUACCCAGCGACACUGUCAUUGAGAACAGAAGGAGAGAUAAAGCACUUCCCAGAGAAGCAGAAACUAAAAAAGUUCACCCAUACUAAGCAACCCUAAAAGAAAUGUUAAAGGGUCUUCUCUAAGUGGGAAAGAAAAGGCUAUAUAACAAGAGUAAGUAUCUAUAGGAAAGGAAAAAUCCCACUAGUGAAGGCACAUAUAUAUUUACAGGCUGAGGAUCAAUCACUUAAAUAAGCUAGUACAAAGAUUAAAAGACAAAAACUUGUAAAAUCAAGUAUCAGUAAAGAGAUAAAAAUGAAGAUGUAAAAUAUGGCAUCAAAAACACAAAGUGUUGGGACUUCCCUGGUGGUCCAGUGGUAAAGAAUCCGCUUACAAAUGCAGGAGAUGCGGGUUUGAUCCCUGGUCAGGGAUUUAAGAUCCCACAUGCCGCUGUGCGACUAAGCCCGCAUGCCACAACUACUGAGCUUGCACGCCUCACCUGGAGCCCACAUACCACAAACUACAGAACCCACGUGCUCUGGGGCCCGCACGUCACAACUACAGAGCCAAUGCAGCCUGCAGCCAGCACGCCACGACUAGAGAGAGAAAACCUGCACGCUGCAAGUAGAGAGAAGCCCGUGCACCACACAAAAGACCCCACAUGCCUCAAUGAAGAUCCCAUGUGCCGCAACUAAGACCUGACACAGCC